ensembl:ncRNA lncRNA:CR43303 long non-coding RNA:CR43303
GUUUUGAGGCACAUUGAAACGUAAACCAUUUUAACAAGACUUUUAAAUGUAUUUUUAAAUGGCUAACAAGGACUUCAUUGAUUAGAGAAAAAGGAUAGUGCAUUAAAAUGUCCAUCCCAGGCCACGCCCCCCAAGGGGGAACGCCCAGACCCCAAAAGGACGAAAAAAAAAGCACACGAAAAGCAUAAAGGAUAAUAAUAAAACGGAGCCUUAUCGCUGAUGCCGAUGCUGCUUUGCUUUGCUUUGCUCCUGAUGAUGGCGAUGUUGAAUGCCGCUCGCUGUUAUAAUAAAACAAAUGGCAGCCCCAUUUAAUUGCUGGCCAUAAAUGUGCUUUGUCCUGCGUACAGGAGGGCAUGGUGUAUCCUUUUCGAGGAUGCCACCGCCACCAAGGAAGUCGGAUAUACGUGCGUAUGUGUGAGUGUGGUGCGUGUAUUACUUUUUAUUAUUAUUAG